CAGGUGGUCAGGUAGAGAAUACCAAGGCGCUUGAGAGAACUCGGGUGAAGGAACUAGGCAAAAUGGUGCCGUAACUUCGGGAGAAGGCACGCUGACACGUAGGUGAAGUGAUUUACUCAUGGAGCUGAAGUCAGUCGAAGAUACCAGCUGGCUGCAACUGUUUAUUAAAAACACAGCACUGUGCAAACACGAAAGUGGACGUAUACGGUGUGACGCCUGCCCGGUGCCGGAAGGUUAAUUGAUGGGGUCAGCGCAAGCGAAGCUCCUGAUCGAAGCCCCGGUAAACGGCGGCCGUAACUAUAACGGUCCUAAGGUAGCGAAAUUCCUUGUCGGGUAAGUUCCGACCUGCACGAAUGGCGUAAUGAUGGCCAGGCUGUCUCCACCCGAGACUCAGUGAAAUUGAACUCGCUGUGAAGAUGCAGUGUACCCGCGGCAAGACGGAAAGACCCCGUGAACCUUUACUAUAGCUUGACACUGAACAUUGAGCCUUGAUGUGUAGGAUAGGUGGGAGGCUUUGAAGUGUGGACGCCAGUCUGCAUGGAGCCAACCUUGAAAUACCACCCUUUAAUGUUUGAUGUUCUAACGUGGACCCGUAAUCCGGGUUGCGGACAGUGUCUGGUGGGUAGUUUGACUGGGGCGGUCUCCUCCUAAAGAGUAACGGAGGAGCACGAAGGUUGGCUAAUCCUGGUCGGACAUCAGGAGGUUAGUGCAAUGGCAUAAGCCAGCUUGACUGCGAGCGUGACGGCGCGAGCAGGUGCGAAAGCAGGUCAUAGUGAUCCGGUGGUUCUGAAUGGAAGGGCCAUCGCUCAACGGAUAAAAGGUACUCCGGGGAUAACAGGCUGAUACCGCCCAAGAGUUCAUAUCGACGGCGGUGUUUGGCACCUCGAUGUCGGCUCAUCACAUCCUGGGGCUGAAGUAGGUCCCAAGGGUAUGGCUGUUCGCCAUUUAAAGUGGUACGCGAGCUGGGUUUAGAACGUCGUGAGACAGUUCGGUCCCUAUCUGCCGUGGGCGCUGGAGAACUGAGGGGGGCUGCUCCUAGUACGAGAGGACCGGAGUGGACGCAUCACUGGUGUUCGGGUUGUCAUGCCAAUGGCACUGCCCGGUAGCUAAAUGCGGAAGAGAUAAGUGCUGAAAGCAUCUAAGCACGAAACUUGCCCCGAGAUGAGUUCUCCCUGAGACUUAAAGUCUCCUGAAGGAACGUUGAAGACGACGACGUUGAUAGGCCGGGUGUGUAAGCGCAGCGAUGCGUUGAGCUAACCGGUACUAAUGAACCGUGAGGCUUAACCUUACAACGCCGAAGGUGUUU
rnacentral:rRNA from 1 species